rnacentral:rRNA from 1 species
UACGAAGGGGGCAAGCGUUGUCCGGAUUUAUUGGGCGUAAAGAGCGUGUAGGCGGCUUGGUAGGUCCGCUGUGAAAACUCGAGGCUCAACCUCGAGAUGUCGGCGGAAACCACUUGGCUAGAGUCCGAAAGAGGAGAGUGGAAUUCCCGGUGUAGCGGUGAAAUGCGUAGAUAUCAGAAGGAACAUCAGUGGCGAAAGCGGCUUCCUGGACCAGAACUGACGAUCAGGCUCGAAAGCGUGGGGAGCAAACAGG